GGUAACCUUAGACCCUACUUACUAGGCUAGAAAGUGUUUUCCUUUCACACACCUCAACAGGGCCUCCUUGCCUUACCUUCCUCUUUUUGGUGAGGCACAUUAACCAGGGGCAAAGCUGAUUAUGAGGGAUGGAGCCAUCCUCCAGGCUAGCAAAUCUGCUAAUGCCUUGUAAGGCUACCUACCACAAGGUGUUCCUUGCUAAUACUAGGGAGCCCUUUAGCCCUUAAAGACCCUUUGCGCUGAAAACUGAAGGAAAACAAACAAACAAAAAGCAGGCACUCUGUGCUAAGGCCAAGAGGAUCACAAAUAUACCGUUGUAAACAAACGGACUAGAGGAUAUCUGUGCCAGUAACCUCAGAUCCGCCGUUGAUCCGCCGUUUCAUUCGUUUCGGGACAAGUGCAGAGUAGCUCGUGCCUUUGAAGCCUAUGGCCUUUAGAGUGGCUUUAGUGUCAAAACUUAAAACAGGCCGAGGAGGGAGCCUGCCAGAAAGGUCAUCGGCAAAGAACCCCAGUGCAGUGGAACUCAUCAGCCAAAACUGUAAGUAAGGGGGGAAAAAAACCCACCUCUUCUAAAGACUUUUAGCGAGCAUUCAACUUGCUGUUACUAGAUAAGGACUACGGCAUUUUCUGUGCUGGGAACCCGAAGUUGUCACAUAGGCCCAUUAUGUCUUAAAUGCUGCCUGUGGCCCUGGAACAAUGAGCUUGAGGCCCAGGAGCUAAAGCAGUAGGCAGCCCGCCAAGUUCAACACUGGCCAGUCUGAAGAGCAGGGCCUGCUGGGGGCUGCUUCCGGCUCUGCCUGAGAUGCAGAGCAAAGAUUUCCAUGCUGGCUUUCCGCAUGCACGUUCGACGAUGGAGGCCCAGACCAGCGAUGACCUGUAGUGACAUUUUCCAUGACACCCUUUGUUUUGUUUUCUGCUUGAUAGUGUAACUUCGGGGGUUUCUUUUUUUGUAACAAUCGCUUGGCAAGGAUUACCGUUAGAUGUCACGGGGGAGUCACCAUACACAGCUGGAUUCUCCCCCUGGGCGGACAUCUCUUUUUCAAAUGGAGCUUCGUGGGAAUUAACUGGAUUAUUUGUGGAGGGACCCUUGGCUGCACAGCUGCUGGUCAGGUCAGUGCCUCGCUUGUGGAAAUAAAAGAAGCUGCAGUGGAACCUUAUGAUGAGGUGCACAGGAAUUUAAAAAAUUGAAUUUAUGAAUGGGAAACGCAGCGUGCCGGUGAGAUGGCUCAGUGGUUAAGAACACUUCACUGCUCUGUCUGAGCUCUUCCCCGAUCCACUGUCAUGGUUAGUGACAGCUCCAAGAGCCCUGGCACCCUAUUCUUGACGCUGGACACCUGUACUCAUCUAAACAUACAGACAGAUACCCAUAUACAGGCAUUAAAAAAACUUUUAAAAAAAUGGACCACAUAUCACUUCAUCUCCAUCAGAACAACAUUCUUAUAAAGUGCUGUAUUUUUCACCCACAUUUGCCCUUGUAGCAAACAGGCUCCUCUUCCAAGAGAGAAGCUAACUAUCUCCUUUGGGGCACUUGGUGGCCAACGACCUGCCCUGAGCAUCCAGUUUGUCAUCUAGUACUGCACUCUCACUGCUGGGUUUGCAGGUCAGAGGAAUACAGCCGUAGGUACUCACUCUAUGGCAAUCUCCAAUACAAUGCUUUCUGGGGGAGUUUGAAGAUCAGCUUAAACGUUGACACUCGAAGUGUGGCAAUGUUCCAGGCCUGUCCAGAGUGCCACUACCAAGAAUUUAUUUCCACUGGGACACGUUUGGUAUACUUUCAAGAAGUUCUUUGCUAUGAUGGCUCGGAGUUUUGGGGAAGAGACAACUGCUGACUUUUGCCAGGAAUAAAGUCUCCUUCUGAUCUUCGAGCUUGGAAAAAGAGUGUCAUUGACCCUCCUUAAACAUGACUACUACUUGUGUUUAUAGAUAAUUCA
rnacentral:sRNA from 1 species